GAUGAAGAACGUAGUAAAAUGCGAUAAGUAAUGUGAAUUGCAGAAUUCAGUGAAUCAUCGAAUCUUUGAACGCACAUUGCGCCCGCCAGUAUUCUGGCGGGCAUGCCUGUUCGAGCGUCAUUUCAACCCUCAAGCACAGCUUGGUGUUGGGACUCGCGUUAAUUCGCGUUCCCCAAAUUGAUUGGCGGUCACGUCGAGCUUCCAUAGCGUAGUAGUAAAACCCUCGUUACUGGUAAUCGUCGCGGCCACGCCGUUGAACCCCAACUUCUGAAUGUUGACCUCGGAUCAGGUAGGAAUACCCGCUGAACUUAAGCAUAUCAAUAAGCGGAGGA
rnacentral:misc_RNA from 1 species